GACAGAGGGUGCAAACGUUGUUCGGAAUUACUGGGCGUAAAGAGCGUGUAGGCGGCCAGACAGGUCCGUUGUGAAAACUCGAGGCUCAACCUCGAGACGCCGAUGGAAACCGUCUGGCUAGAGUCCGGAAGAGGAGAGUGGAAUUCCUGGUGUAGCGGUGAAAUGCGCAGAUAUCAGGAAGAACACCCGUGGCUAAGGCGGCUCUCUAGUACGGUACUGACGCUGAGACGCGAAAGCGUGGGGAGCGAACAGG
rnacentral:rRNA from 1 species